GGGUGCGAUCAUACCAGCACUAAAGCACCRGAUCCCAUCAGAACUCCGCAGUUAAGCGUGCUUGGGCGAGAGUAGUACUAGGAUGGGUGACCCCCUGGGAAGUCCUCGUGUUGCACCCCA
rnacentral:rRNA from 1 species